GAAUGAUUUUUCCUAUCUUUCUUUACUUUACUUGAGACCUUUUUAGCUUCUGCGUUUUCCUUGGCAUCUUUCGUAAAGACAAGUUCCUCAUUAUAUUGUUUUCGGACGGAGGUAUCUGCAAUAUUAAAUUUGUGACGCGACGAAUUAAUCUCCUCUUUACUUCGUAUCGUUGAUUGCAGACGGUUUGGAGGAAAAAUCAUAUAUCCUGAUCUAUAACACCUUUUUAUGCAUCUCGAAAUCAUAUUAAACAAAUUGGAUCGUGGAGAAGCAAGUACAGGUAAAGCCUAAUGUUUCUAAAUCGAAGUUUCAGGGGAAAUGAAUCAAAAACGAAUUUCUCUUAGAGUUUUAUGAACUAAAAAGCCAAAAUCGUUAAUGAACUGACGAUUAAAUGACUCUUUCUACGCAGGCGAAAUGAACUACCUGCUUGAAUAGCUAACGAGAGAUGUGGAGGGAUGGUAAGAAGGUGGAGGAUGUAUACGCCAGCACCAAUGAAUUAAUUAUAG